UACGUAGGGGCCUAGCGUUGUCCGGAUUUAUUGGGCGUAAAGAGCUCGUAGGCGGUUCGGUAAGUCAGGUGUGAAAUCUCCACGCUCAACGUGGAGGCGCCACCUGAAACUGCCGUGACUCGAGUCCGGUAGGGGAGUGUGGAAUUCCCGGUGUAGCGGUGAAAUGCGCAGAUAUCUGGAGGAACACCGGUGGCGAAGGCGGCGUCCUGGACCAAUACUGACACUGAUGAGCGAAAGCCAGGGGAGCAAACAGG
rnacentral:rRNA from 1 species